CUGGUGGCGAGUGGCGAACGGGUGAGUAAUACAUCGGAACAUGUCCUGUAGUGGGGGAUAGCCCGGCGAAAGCCGGAUUAAUACCGCAUACGAUCUACGGAUGAAAGCGGGGGACCUUCGGGCCUCGCGCUAUAGGGUUGGCCGAUGGCUGAUUAGCUAGUUGGUGGGGUAAAGGCCUACCAAGGCGACGAUCAGUAGCUGGUCUGAGAGGACGACCAGCCACACUGGGACUGAGACACGGCCCAGACUCCUACGGGAGGCAGCAGUGGGGAAUUUUGGACAAUGGGCGAAAGCCUGAUCCAGCAAUGCCGCGUGUGUGAAGAAGGCCUUCGGGUUGUAAAGCACUUUUGUCCGGAAAGAAAUCCUUGGUUCUAAUAUAGCCGGGGGAUGACGGUACCGGAAGAAUAAGCACCGGCUAACUACGUGCCAGCAGCCGCGGUAAUACGUAGGGUGCGAGCGUUAAUCGGAAUUACUGGGCGUAAAGCGUGCGCAGGCGGUUUGCUAAGACCGAUGUGAAAUCCCCGGGCUCAACCUGGGAACUGCAUUGGUGACUGGCAGGCUAGAGUAUGGCAGAGGGGGGUAGAAUUCCACGUGUAGCAGUGAAAUGCGUAGAGAUGUGGAGGAAUACCGAUGGCGAAGGCAGGCCCCUGGGCCAAUACUGACGCUCAUGCACGAA
rnacentral:rRNA from 1 species